rnacentral:rRNA from 1 species
GACGUAGGGCGCGAGCGUUGUCCGGAUUUAUUGGGCGUAAAGAGCUCGUAGGCGGCUUGUCGCGUCGAUCGUGAAAACUUGGGGCUCAACCCCAAGCCCUGCGGUCGAUACGGGCAGGCUCGAGUUCGGUAGGGGAGACUGGAAUUCCUGGUGUAGCGGUGAAAUGCGCAGAUAUCAGGAGGAACACCGGUGGCGAAGGCGGGUCUCUGGGCCGAUACUGACGCUGAGGAGCGAAAGCGUGGGGAGCGAACAGG